ACGGGUGAGUAACACGUGGGUAACCUGCCUGUAAGACUGGGAUAACUCCGGGAAACCGGAGCUAAUACCGGAUAGUUCCUUGAACCGCAUGGUUCAAGGAUGAAAGACGGUUUCGGCUGUCACUUACAGAUGGACCCGCGGCGCAUUAGCUAGUUGGUGAGGUAACGGCUCACCAAGGCGACGAUGCGUAGCCGACCUGAGAGGGUGAUCGGCCACACUGGGACUGAGACACGGCCCAGACUCCUACGGGAGGCAGCAGUAGGGAAUCUUCCGCAAUGGACGAAAGUCUGACGGAGCAACGCCGCGUGAGUGAUGAAGGUUUUCGGAUCGUAAAGCUCUGUUGUUAGGGAAGAACAAGUGCAAGAGUAACUGCUUGCACCUUGACGGUACCUAACCAGAAAGCCACGGCUAACUACGUGCCAGCAGCCGCGGUAAUACGUAGGUGGCAAGCGUUGUUCGGAAUUAUUGGGCGUAAAGGGCUCGCAGGCGGUUUCUUAAGUCUGAUGUGAAAGCCCCCGGCUCAACCGGGGAGGGUCAUUGGAAACUGGGAAACUUGAGUGCAGAAGAGGAGAGUGGAAUUCCA
rnacentral:rRNA from 1 species